AUAGCUAAACCACAUGCAAUCUACAAUAUCAUAGGAAUUACUCAAGUGUUCACAACUAGAUCGACAAAGUAGUGAAUCGCAAUCUCUUGUCAAAAUCCACUCUAUUCGUUGUCGAUGCUCCUCCUCUCGGGUGCUAAGCUAUCUACAACGAAUGAGGUUUAAGCGCGUUGAUCGUUCGCUACACUCUAUGUCUCAAUCUCUCGACCGGAGACACUCGAGUAUUAAAUGCAAUUCAGUUCAGACAUUAAAUCAAUACUCUCGCAC
rnacentral:lncRNA from 1 species